CCUCUUUGGCCCCCCUGCCCUCAUGCUGGGCUCCAAAACAGUAACUAGUGUCUCAGAGCCCCCAGACUGGCCCACCUCCCCUGCCUGCCACACUUUAUGGUUUAUCCCCCUUUUAGGUCCAUCCAUCUUUCUGAUCGAGUUGAGUCCUAAGCAUGCUCUUCAUGCUCCUUUUUGGGGACCCUCAGCAGAGUCUCUUGCUUCCCCGUUCCCCCACCAAUUGUUGCCCCCUUUCUAGAGCAGGGGUUUGGGAUUCCAGAGGUGAUGAAAUGUCUCUUGUUGGCAAAGCUGUCUCUGACCACCCAGUCUGGCCCCUACCUCUUCCUAGCCACCUCUUUCAUCAUCCUGUUAACACUGUCUUCCUAGCUUAUCUGAAAUUACAUGAAACUAAACUAAAUGGAUGUUAAUAUUUUCUUUCUCUCUCCCCCUUAGAUUGUAAAAUUUCUCAGGGCAGUUUUUUUUUUUUCUGUCAUGUUCCCUGCUGGGCCCCCAUUCCUAGGAUCCAGGCCAGGACCAAAUUAAAAAAAAGGCACUCUGGACCUGGCACCCGGCAGGUGCCUGGUGUGUAAACAUCCCACGGGCCAAACCUUGGGUAAACCCCAAGCAAGAGCCAAGGGCGGACCCAAAACUGGCCACAAGGAAAACUUCUGCCUAAAAAAUUCUGACUGUGACCUGAGGACCCUGACCUGACCCUGGAGGCAUUCUUUGGGUCUGGGCUGCCCCAUGGUCCCCCCUGAUGAACCAGGCGGAGGGCACCCAUGCCCCACCAAAUCAAUGCACAGCAACCUGCCUGCCACACCCAGGAAGCUGGGGGAGGCCCCUGCACCCCCCACCCCACCACCAUUUGAAGGACCGAGACUGAUAUCCAGGGGCCAGUCCUGCUGCAGAUGGACAGGCCUUCACAUGGACCCUGGGGAGGACCCUUGUGGACCUCAGGGGAACAAAUCUCAAGG
rnacentral:sRNA from 1 species